GAGGAGGAAGAGGAGGAAGAGGGGGCAGAGGGCUGGCUGGAGGCGCGGUGUUAGCGGUGUUAGCGGGGGGAAACGGAUGAGCGAGGCUCGGUCUGCCAACACUCGGAGGGAUCCUUUGAUCCCCCGCCGGGAUCACGGCGCGUCCACGAUGACGAGGGCGGCUUCCGGCUGUCUGUCUUGGCGUUUUCCCGCCUUAAGGUCAGACGACAACGGAACAAAUAAUCUGAAAUGUUUUGGCUCGCCCCUGGUAAAACCUGCUCUACGGCAGUGUGCUGUAACCUACGCUUGGUUUAUAGGGAGUAGUUCACGAGGUGAGCAGGUGUCCCCCUUGAUGUGGGACCUCACUGUUUGUCCCCCGUCCCGCAUAUCGAGACGAUGUACCGCAGGACAGGGUGUGAUCGUGGGGCAGUGUUUGAUGUGUUUUAAACCGCGCACCUGUAGUUCAAGCGCAGGUUAAUGUGUCACUACUUUUGCUGCCUGCUACACCGUGCCCAACGUCGAAUACUGCGACCCACAACAAAGUAACAAGCCAUACAGCUUUACGUUUAUUCAGUGUCACACACAGGCACGCCCUCAAGCCACAUGCGAGAAUGUGUACGUUUUGAAUUGGACAUAAAUAAAACAUUGUUAGACUAGCUUUCUGCAGCUGUACCGUGUCACACAUUGUCCCAGCACAAACAUACUCUUUGACCCACGUCUGGUUUGUUGGGUGGUGGUCACCCAAGGCCCCCCUUCAGGGCGGGGCACGAGCAGAAGCAUAUGAAACCUACCGCCAUGGCACGCUUUUGCAAGCAGACAAAACAUUUGCCCGGUCUGGGCCAAGAUGCCAAGGUUCAGCCCUGGCGUGAAGUCGCGCAGUGAGCCGUACCAUGAGCCUGCCGAGGUGCUAGACCCGCGCUGCUCAGUGGAAACUCAACACCGGAACGCGUGUGGUCAGGCUCCUGUAUCUCAACGGUGCGGAGCGGCGGAAAUGCAGCAUGACUGGUCCAGGGAGGCCUUUGAGGGCAGGGUAGCAAAUACUACAUAUUGUAAAUAUUGUUAGUCACGGCAAUCCAUAUAAAAAGAUAUAGCUGAAAUAUAUCUUAAAUGCAUAAUGUAUACCGGUAUUCGUGCAUUACAUGAUGGACGUCUAGCUUGUCACAACUUGUGGACAAUAUAAUAAAAAGCAAAGCCUUCAAUGUGAGUUGUUAUGAUUUUUAAGUUACGGUGUAGUCAUAGGAUGCAUAAUUCUUUUU
ensembl:lncRNA